rnacentral:rRNA from 1 species
UACACUCCUGCGGGAGGCAGCAGUGGGGAAUUUUGGACAAUGGGGGCAACCCUGAUCCAGCAAUGCCGCGUGAGUGAAGAAGGCCUUCGGGUUGUAAAGCUCUUUUGUCAGGGAAGAAACGGUGGUGGCGAAUAACUACUACUAAUGACGGUACCUGAAGAAUAAGCACCGGCUAACUACGUGCCAGCAGCCGCGGUAAUACGUAGGGUGCAAGCGUUAAUCGGAAUUACUGGGCGUAAAGCGUGCGCAGGCGGUUGUGUAAGUCAGAUGUGAAAUCCCCGGGCUCAACCUGGGAAUUGCAUUUGAGACUGCACGGCUAGAGUGUGUCAGAGGGGGGUAGAAUUCCACGUGUAGCAGUGAAAUGCGUAGAUAUGUGGAGGAAUACCGAUGGCGAAGGCAGACCCCUGGGAUAACACUGACGCUCAUGCACGAAAGCGUGGGGAGCAAACAGGAUUAGAAACCCUAGUAGCCC